rnacentral:rRNA from 1 species
GAUGAACGCUGGCGGCGUGCCUAAUACAUGCAAGUCGAGCGAACAGACGAGGAGCUUGCUCCUCUGACGUUAGCGGCGGACGGGUGAGUAACACGUGGAUAACCUACCUAUAAGACUGGGAUAACUUCGGGAAACCGGAGCUAAUACCGGAUAAUAUAUUGAACCGCAUGGUUCAAUAGUGAAAGACGGUUUUGCUGUCACUUAUAGAUGGAUCCGCGCCGCAUUAGCUAGUUGGUAAGGUAACGGCUUACCAAGGCAACGAUGCGUAGCCGACCUGAGAGGGUGAUCGGCCACACUGGAACUGAGACACGGUCCAGACUCCUACGGGAGGCAGCAGUAGGGAAUCUUCAGCAAUGGGCGAAAGCCUGACGGAGCAACGCCGCGUGAGUGAUGAAGGUCUUCGGAUCGUAAAACUCUGUUAUUAGGGAAGAACAAAUGUGGAAGUAACUAUGCACGUCUUGACGGUACCUAAUCAGAAAGCCACGGCUAACUACGUG